CCUACGGGGGGCAGCAGUGAGGAAUAUUGGUCAAUGGGCGCGAGCCUGAACCAGCCAAGUAGCGUGAAGGAUGACUGCCCUACGGGUUGUAAACUGCUUUUAUAAAGGAAUAAAGUGAGUCACGUGUGCCUUUUUGUAUGUACUGUAUGAAUAAGGAUCGGCUAACUCCGUGCCAGCAGCCGCGGUAAUACGGAGGAUCCGAGCGUUAUCCGGAUUUAUUGGGUUUAAAGGGAGCGUAGGUGGGUUGUUAAGUCUGUUGUGAAAGUUUGCGGCUCAACCGUAGAAUUGCAACUGAUACUGGCAGGCUUGAGUACAGUUGAGGUAGGCGGAAUUCGUGGUGUAGCGGUGAAAUGCUUAGAUAUCACGAAGAACUCCGAUUGCGAAGGCAGCUUACUAAACUGCCACUGACAUUGAUGCUCGAAAGUGUGGGUAUCAAACAGGAUUAGAUACCCGGGUAGUC
rnacentral:rRNA from 1 species